AGCAAUGUGGUAGAGUGGUUUGAAUGUUGGACCAGGACUCUGAGAGACCAGGUUUCAAAUCCCUGCUUGGCUA